GGACUUAUUCAUCAGCCUGGCUCCCCCUCUGAAGGUGCUUAAACUGGCAAAAUAGAAGGGAUGUGGCCAUUUUGCCCCUGAGUGCUACAUCAAUCUAAAGUGACAUAAAGAUAAUACUUGCCAUUUGGUGUACUGUUAUUACCACCGGGCAAACCCAAAUGGAUUUGUCUUCAGUGUACUGGAAAAUCCCCCUUUUUGUCAAGCCACCAACAAGUUGAGAGGCAAAAGACUUCUUGUCAAGGAUUGCUGGAGCUUAGCAGAGAGCAUCUGACAUCAUGCUAAUCUACCAUAGAAGUAUGACAAAGAGACCAGAUUCAGCUAAUUAACGCAGUGCCUGGAGGUACCAUCUUAAGCGCAAUUACAAGACAAAAGUCACAAGACAUCCAUGCAAAUGGAUCAUGCUCUCUGUCUGGGAAAGCUGUGCAAACAUGUGGCCAGCCAAGGCACCACGCUGCCAUUUCCCCCUCGAACACUGCAGCAGGUGCAACAGGAACUGCGGCACAUGUCCAAGGUUCAGAGGUCAGAGCACGCUGCAUCUGUGCCUAAUCGGCCGUUAAACAGAGGGCCGUCUCCUUUGAUCAGCGAUUUCAUCUGGAAGGCGAGGAUCUGGUUCCCAAGAGGGACAGAAUACAUAAGUUCACACUUCUGUUUCCCAACAGGGCUGGGAAAACAUCCUUACACAGAGAAAUUGAUUUGCACACGUUAUCUUUGAUCUGUUCCAGAAUUUGGUGAAGAAAGCUAGUGCAGUUAGGUUGUUAGGUCUUCAAAUGUGUGUAGUGUGUGUUGAACUACAAGAUAUCUGUGGUUUUAGCUAAAGUAGUUAUAGUAUAUAGGCCUAGAAUAUUGGACUAGAACUGUUAGUUAUAGUAUAUAGGCCUAGAAUAUUGGGCUAGAGCUGUUAGUUAUAGUACAUAGGCCUAGAAUAUUGGGCUAGAGCUGUUGGUUAUAGUAAAAAGGCCUAGAAUAUUGGACUAGAGCUGUUAGUUAUAGCAUAUAGGCCUAGAAUAUUGGACUAGAGCUGUUAGUUAUAGCAUAUAGGCCUAGAAUAUUGGGCUAGAGCUGUUAGUUAUAGCAUAUAGGCCUAGAAUAUUGGACUAGAGCUGUUAGUUAUAGCAUAUAGGCCUAGAAUAUUGGGCUAGAGCUGUUAGUUAUAGCAUAUAGGCCUAGAAUAUUGGACUAGAGAUGUUAGUUAUAGCAUAUAGGCCUAGAAUAUUGGACUAGAGCUGUUAGUUAUAGCAUAUAGGCCUAGAAUAUUGGACUAGAGCUGUUAGUUAUAGCAUAUAGGCCUAGAAUAUUGGGCUAGAGCUGUUAGUUAUAGCAUAUAGGCCUAGAAUAUUGGACUAGAGCUGUUAGUUAUAGUACAUAGGCCAAGAAUAUUGGGCUAGAGCUGUUGGUUAUAGUAAAAAGGCCUAGAAUAUUGGACUAGAGCUGUUAGUUAUAGCAUAUAGGCCUAGAAUAUUGGACUAGAGCUGUUAGUUAUAGCAUAUAGGCCUAGAAUAUUGGGCUAGAGCUGUUAGUUAUAGCAUAUAGGCCUAGAAUAUUGGACUAGAGCUGUUAGUUAUAGCAUAUAGGCCUAGAAUAUUGGACUAGAGCUGUUAGUUAUAGCAAAUAGGCCUAGAAUAUUGGACUAGAGCUGUUAGUUAUAGCAUAUAGGCCUAGAAUAUUGGGCUAGAGCUGUUAGUUAUAGCAUAUAGGCCUAGAAUAUUGGACUAGAGCUGUUAGUUAUAGCAUAUAGGCCUAGAAUAUUGGGCUAGAGCUGUUAGUUAUAGCAUAUAGGCCUAGAAUAUUGGACUAGAGCUGUUAGUUAUAGCAUAUAGGCCUAGAAUAUUGGGCUAGAGCUGUUAGUUAUAGCAUAUAGGCCUAGAAUAUUGGACUGGAGCUGUUAGUUAUAGCAUAUAGGCCUAGAAUAUUGGACUGGAGCUGUUAGUUAUAGCAUAUAGGCCUAGAAUAUUGGACUAGAGCUGUUAGUUAUAGCAUAUAGGCCUAGAAUAUUGGACUAGAGCUGUUAGUUAUAGCAUAUAGGCCUAGAAUAUUGGACUAGAGCUGUUAGUUAUAGCAUAUAGGCCUAGAAUAUUGGACUAGAGCUGUUGUAAUGAGGAGAGGGCUACUGUUUGCUGGGCUGACUGAAAGCCUUCUUUGUGAAUUUUCUAGCUAUUUGAAGAAUUUGAACGGUGAGUUUUUGGCUGUGGCAAUAUUUGGAUGCCGGAGUGUAUUUGUGGUUCAGGGAUAUUUGUGGGUGGGAUGUAUUUAUGGUUGAGGGAUAUUUGAGAUCUAUAAACAGAAGCAUUGUUUGGGCUGCUAGCCUGAAACAAUGUUUCUCACACUGUUUUGCAUGCACUGAAGCUAGCAGUUCCAGGGACCCCAACGGGUCAUUAGUGUGUGCAAAUACUGAGGGUUGAAUAAUGGCUAAUAUGCCUUAGAGACUAAUAAUUAAAUUACUAAU